CUCGUCCUCACCGGCGAAGAAGAAGAUCCUUUUAUCUUCCAAGUCCUCUGUAUGUGGAUUCUCUACUCGAGUCCUACUCUACCAUCAACAUCUUCGCCAGCGACAAUAACCAUCUCUGGAUAUAUCGGAAAAAGCUAUCGGUGCGCCGUCGAAGGAUCAUUAAAAGUCUUUAGGCCUAAGGAUUGUUGGGAGUAAGCGUUCAAUGGUGUAUCUUCCUUCUCUUAUCUCUAUUAACCUGAUUACAUAGCCUUCUAGAUCUUUUCCUUUGGUUGUGAUGAAAUUUAGGGAUUCCUUGUGAAGAUCUCUGAUAAUAACAAGAUUUAUCGGCCGGAGACGCUGCUUCUAUAUUUGAGGUCAUACUAUGUUGUUAAGGCCUGAAAGAUCAUUUUUAUCUGGCCGUUUUCGAAUUCCCAAAAUCUGAUUGAGCUUUGUUUUGUUUUGUUUUCCGUCAUCAGGUGAGAUUACAAGUUUGGAUCAGACAAGGUCAUAAUUGAUGGGCUACAGAUCUUCAAAAUGGUCUAAUUCAUUUUUUAGUUCGAAAUCUAAUGGCUCUAUCUCCCCACUUCCCCUAAUUCGAUUGUAUGUUUGUAUUUUCUUUAAUGGAAGUCUCCAUUUUCUUGCCAGGGAUAACGUUUACAUGCUAUCUUCUCAUUUACACAAAUAACCAUUCCACAAGAAACUUUUAAUCUUUCCAAAGAUUGCUGUAACAUUCUACAAAUUGAUUACUAUGAAACAUGAGGAUUCAACGCAUCUAUCAUGGACUAUACUUCACGGAGCAAUCGUUUGUGUAGGAGACAAGCAAAGGAGGCUGAAUUCUUCUUCCAUCUAAUCAGGAACCAAAGGCUUCCGAGCUCCAGAGGUACAUCAAGUGUAACUAUAUCUUUCUUCCUUUAAAAGUUUGCUUAUAUGAAUCUCUACCUUGAGGCUAAAGAUGCACUGCUGAACUACUCAUUAGAAUUUUCAGGAUGGAAAAUCUAAUUAUUUGGGGCUGUUCUUGGCUGAAAUAACUUGUGCAGGAUUCCUUCAGACGUGUGGUCAGCAUGAGUAAGUUUAACUUUGUCUCAUUUAUUUGUUAAGAUUGCAGAGCCUGGUUUGUUAAUCCUCGCUCUUUUAUACCUAAGUUUCUGCUCUAUUGAACAUAAUUACAUUUUCUUUUCCUGGACACUUAGAGAUCAUGAAGAAUUCAAGGUUAAGAUCAAUGUUUUAGUUGAGACUGCACCAACAUUUCCUGAAGAAGUCUAGAAUAUCCACUACGGUACUCCUUGGCCUGUUAAUAAUGUGUGCGAUCAUCCUGCCAUGAAUGAUCAAGGUCUUAACGAUGUAGAAAACUACGAGCUGCCUAGGCUGGUUUAUCUUCUCGUGAGGAGAGAGCCCAGAUCUGACCAUCAUAAGAAGGUUGAAGAAAUAAAUUUAUUGUAUUCAGUUGAAGAUGUGACUCUCUGGGGUUCUAUCAAAUGGUCUUGAUCUUCUGAAUGAAUGUCGACUGUGAUUAAUACAUCAACAUUAGCAAAGCUCUUAGAGAAGCAAUGUGUCCUUAGUCGGGAAAAAGAUUUGUUAUGUUCAACGGGAAAAAGAUUUGCUAUGUCACACAUUUUAAUAUUAUGUUCAAAAAAAAAAUAUAUUAAUAUUCUGUCAAACAAUCCACCAAAAUAAGUUAACUUUUUUUAUUUUUAGAUAAUUAUUCUAAAUUAUACUUGACAAAAAAGUAUUCCAAGUUAUAUAAGCGUUAUGCAGUUAUUCAGUAUUGUUGAUAUAUAUAUUCUCUUUGUAUUUGAGAGAUUGAUACUUUAAAUAUUCUACACAUACAAACUUAAAUAU